GAUGAAGAACGUAGCGAAAUGCGAUACUUGGUGUGAAUUGCAGAAUCCCGUGAACCAUCGAGUCUUUGAACGCAAGUUGCGCCUCAAGCCAUUAGGUUGAGGGCACGUCUGCCUGGGCGUCACAUAUCGUUGCCUGAUGCCAGUUUCCUCGUGAUGGGUGACUGUGCAGGGCGAAUGAUGGCUUCCCGUGAGCAUUGUUGCCUCAUGGUUGGUUGAAAAUUGAGUCCUUGGUAGGGAGCGCCGUGAUAGAUGGUGGUUGAGUGACGAACGAGACCCAAUCAUGUGAGACCCCUACCGAAUUUGGCCUUCAUGACCCACAUGCGUCUUUGGAACGCUCAUGACGAGACCUCAGGUCAGGCGGGGCUCCCCGCUGAGUUUAAGCAUAUCAAUAAGCGGAGGA
rnacentral:misc_RNA from 1 species